rnacentral:sRNA from 1 species
GCCUAGCCCUGAUGGAAGCGGCAUCCCAUCUCGUUCUCAAAACGAGAUGGAUAUAGCGUACAGCAGGAAUUAGC